rnacentral:rRNA from 1 species
UACAUGGGGUGCAAACGUUGCUCGGAAUCAUUGGGCGUAAAGCGCGCGUAGGCGGUUACUUAUGUCGGAUGUGAAAGCCCUCGGCUUAACUGAGGAAGUGCAUUCGAAACUGGGUAGCUAGAGUACUAAAGAGGGUCGCGGAAUUCCCGGUGUAGAGGUGAAAUUCGUAGAUAUCGGGAGGAACACCGGUGGCGAAGGCGGCGACCUGGGGUAGAUACUGACGCUGAGGCGCGAAAGCGUGGGGAGCAAACAGG